CCAUUUGCCUUAGCAGUGCAUAUAUUAAAAUUGGAAUGAUAUGAAGAAGAUUAAUAUGACCCCUGUACAAGGAUUACAAGCAAAUUUACGAUGCAUUUCCUAUUUUG
rnacentral:snRNA from 1 species